UAGGGAAUCUUCCGCAAUGGACGAAAGUCUGACGGAGCGACGCCGCGUGAGCGAAGAAGGUCUUCGGAUCGUAAAGCUCUGUUGUUAGGGAAGAAGAAGUGCCGUUCGAACAGGGCGGCGCGGUGACGGUACCUAACGAGAAAGCCCCGGCUAACUACGUGCCAUCAGCCGCGGUAAUACGUAGGUGGCAAGCGUUGUCCGGAAUUAUUGGGCGUAAAGCGCGCGCAGGCGGUUCCUUAAGUCUGAUGUGAAAUCUCGCGGCUCAACCGCGAGCGGCCAUUGGAAACUGGGGAACUUGAGUGCAGGAGAGGGGAGCGGAAUUCCACGUGUAGCGGUGAAAUGCGUAGAGAUGUGGAGGAACACCAGUGGCGAAGGCGGCUCUCUGGCCUGUAACUGACGCUGAGGCGCGAAAGCGUGGGGAGCGAACAGG
rnacentral:rRNA from 1 species